GGUAACAGCAACAGAAUCUAACCUACAAAAACAGUUCCGAUUGAUACAGUUAGUUCGUGAAACAAGAUAAAACCAUUUGAAUUGUAAGUAAAUACCUUAACAUGUUAAAACUAGUAUAACUUACAAUGUUUCGUAAAUCAGGGUUUCGAGCUGAUAGCAAAAAAGCAGCGAUUUAAUUUCUUGAUCCCGGUACACCGACGUUACUGUCCGAUAAAAGAAAACUUAAUGUAAGUUUGAAGAAAUUUGUUAUUCAUAAUCGCUUAACUAACAAUAAAAAAUAUCUUUUAGCUUCAAGCUGCUAUACAAGAAAGGCUGCUCUGAGGAUUCGUUUUAAUUAUCCGAACAUUCUUGAAGAUUAACGAAUCUUCGUGGACAAAACCUGGCAAUGUCGGAUCCGGCGAAUGAAACGCUGACGAAUGUCGAAAAAUCGACUGAAAAUCGGAACUGUAUGUACUGCGAGGAGGACGAUAGUGCGGAUAACAUGGUCCAAUGCGACAUGUGCAACUUUUGGAGCCACUAUCGGUGUGCAGGUGUCACUGACGCGGUGAAGAAAUUACCCUGGAACUGCAAGAAGUGCAGUAAUAUGCUGAACGUUCCGAAAAUAAGGAAACCGGUCAAGAAAGUUGUUUCCAAACGGACAGGCAGUGCCAAGAGCGAUGCCGGGUCGGACUCCGGAAGACUACGAGAAGGUCGAGUAUCCCUUCAAGAAUCCCUGAGUCUAUUGGAACAGGAAUCGGCUGCGAUCGAGCAGCAACUGGAGGAGGAACAAGUGUUGCAUGAUAGACGUUUGGCGCUUGAACGUUCUAUCAACGAAAAAAGAAGAGCGCUGCACCAAAGGCAGCAAGCGGAAAAGCUUCGGCAGGAAAAGGAGCAGUUGGAGUUGGAACUAGCGGAUCAUAAGGACUUCCUGAUCCGCCAGAAACAAAUGCGGGAUCAAUUCCAGAAGAUGAAAGCGGAUUUAAGUCGGGAAUUCGAAACGGAGAGCGAAAAUGAGUCGCAAGAUCCGGAUGUUAGUUCGGACAAGACGAAGCGCUGGGUGGAGAAGCAGAACGAUCCCCGUGGAGCUUACUCCAAGGAAGCUGCUGCCGUACCGAAGUUGCUCAAGGCCGGACGCGAGGCGUACAACGAACGGCAUGGUGUUAUAGUUCCAGAGCCAGAGAAAUAUGCUCGCUCGGUAAAACAACAUCAACAGGAACAGUUAGGAGUUUCUUCGAAAACUGAUAUCCGUCCAAAAUGGGAUACGCCGGUGAAAACGACUUCCGAACAACGUUUCAAAUUAUUAUUGGAACAGCGUUUGAAAGAAACCGGGUAUGGAUCCAGGGAGGAACCGGAAAUAAACGAACCGGAGGAUUUAGAGCUGAAGGAGCUGGAAGAGGCUUUCAUUAAGAAGUUGUUGGAGCGCAAAGGUAACUUUGAAUCGAGUGUACCAGCAUGUCACUUGAGUGCUGGACCAACCAAGGAGCAACUGGCUGCGCGUCAAGCUGCAUCGAAGCACCUUCCUACUUUCCGCGGAGAGCCCGAGGUCUGGCCACAGUUCAUAAGCUGCUUCGAAUACACUACAGCGGCUUGUGGAUUCACAAAUGUGGACAAUCUAAAAAGACUCCAGGACAGUCUACAAGGAUUGGCGAAGGAAGCUGUUCAAAGCAGAUUGCUCAUGCCCGAAUCUGUGCCGGAAGUGAUCGAGGAUCUGCGACAACUAUUCGGCAAUCCGGAGAAGCUGCUGAAGUCGCUUGUGACCAAAGUGCGGAAGGUGCCAGCCCCACGAGUGGACAAACUGGAAUCUUUUUUGUAUUUUGGGAUCACUGUCAAACAGUUGUGUGAUCACUUAGUGGCAGCGAAACUGCAGGAUCACCUGAGCAAUCCCAUGCUCGUUUCGGAACUGGUGAACAAGCUACCAUCCGAAUAUCAGCUGGAGUGGAUUCGUUUUAAGAGAGGUAAGAUUGGCCUUCCUCUCUGUAUGUUCGCCGAUUUUAUGAAUGGAAUCGUGUCAGAAGUUUCUGAACUGGCCGAUUUCAAGGGAGAGCAGAAAACCGUGAUGGAUGAAGGGAGAAACCGGUAUAAAAGGAAAGAGCGAGUGAAUGCUCACGAUGUUAAAGUGUUCCCGCCUUCGCAGAAUACUACACCCGUGAAAUCCAGAAGACCUUGCCCGAUGUGCAAUCGCACGGACCACAAAUUGCGGUUCUGUGACGACUUCGCCUCAAUCUCGUUGUUUGAUCGUCGAAAGCUGGUUGACAGGCUGAAGUUGUGCAACCUUUGCCUGAGUGACCAUGGUAAAAUAAAAUGUACUUUCAAGGUCCGGUGCGAGAUACGAAGCUGCAGAGGAGCACACCAUACGCUGUUACACUGCAAUGAAGAAGCCGUCAACGUCACCGUCGCUGAGUGUAAUCCACAUCAUAAGAGAGAUCGGUCAGUAAUCUUUCGAAUGAUACCGAUUACUCUGUACCAUGGGGGAAAUGCAGUCGAAACGUUGGCGUUCCUGGACGAGGGAGCUUCAACAACACUCGUUGAGAGCUCAUUAGCUGAUUCGUUGGGCGUCAAGGGUAUUCCGGAACCCCUGGUCAUCCUGUGGACAGGAAAUGUCAAGCGAACCGAAGAAAAUUCAGUAAAAAUCGACCUACUGAUAUCCUCGGUAGAUUCUCGACGGAAAUUCAUGCUGUCAUCCGCCCAUACCGUGGGAGAACUGAAGCUGCCAUUGCAGAAGGCGAGUUACGGAAACAUCGUAGAAAAGUAUCGACACUUAAGCGGAGUCCCUUUGUCGAGCACCAAGAUGGAGGUUCCCAGAGUUCUCAUCGGUCUUGAUAACCUACACUUAUUCGCCCCUCUGGAGUCCAAGGUUGGUGCCCCGGGAGAACCGAUUGCCGUGCGCUCAGCGCUGGGUUGGGCAAUCUACGGUCCCGACUUGAGAUCGGAACAGCGACAUAGCUACUUCAAUCACCAUCUGGUUCAGAGUUUGAAUAAUCGGGAGCUUCACGAUCUGAUGGCGGAGCAGUACGCUCAGGAGGAAUUGCCUUCACCGUUUGGUCAGUCUAUGGAAUCAGAGGAAAUACGCAGAGCCCGGGACAUCCUAGAAUCGACCACCGUCCGUGUAGGCGACCGCUUCGAAACGGGACUCAUCUGGAAACAGGAACCCGCCUUUCCUGACAGCUAUCCAAUGGCGUUGAAUAGACUGAGGAGUCUUGAGCGACGGUUCAACCGAGAGCCACAUCUGCAACGGAAUGUAAACCAACAGAUCGAAUACUACCUUACCAAAGGCUACUGCCACAAGGCCACGAAAGAGGAACUGUUGAAUACCAAUCCUUCUUCCGUGUGGUAUCUUCCUCUAAACGUAGUACUCAAUCCGAAGAAACCACAUAAGAUACGCUUGGUGUGGGAUGCAGCGGCCAAAUCCCAAGGAGUUGCCCUCAAUUCAUUCCUUCUCAAAGGCCCCGACCUACUGGCAUCACUUCCGGCAGUCAUCAGCAAAUUUCGAGAGCGUCGAGUUGCCGUGGGAGGUGACAUAAAAGAAAUGUACCAUCAGCUCAGGAUAAGAGAUGCAGAUAAGCAAGCGCAAAGGUUUUUGUUCCGUUUUCCGAAAGAUGAUCAUCCAACUGUGUUCGUCAUGGAUGUGGCCACCUUCGGCGCUGCCAGUUCUCCGUGCUCGGCGCAAUACAUCAAGAACCUGAACGCCCAGCAGUUCUCUACAAGUUAUCCAGCAGCAGCAGCAGCCAUAGUUCACCGUCAUUACGUCGACGAUUACUAUGACAGUUUCGACACCGAAGAGGAAGCUAUCACGCGGGCCAAAGAGGUACGUUUUAUUCACUCGAAAGGUGGAUUCGAAAUCACAAACUGGACAUCUAAUUCCACUGAAGUUCUUCGAAGCCUGGGUAUUGACGGUGGCUCCAGAGAGUCCAUCCAUUUGAACCGAGAUAAAGCAACACACUAUGAACGGGUUCUCGGCAUCAUGUGGGAUACACAGAACGAUGAGUUCUCUUUUGCAGUACCUACAAACGUAGCUGCUACUGAUGCAGCACCACCGAAGAAGCGUGAAGUCCUAAGCACGGUCAUGUCUUUGUUUGAUCCGAUAGGACUGUUGGCUCCUUUUACAGUGCUUGGAAAGAUGCUCAUGCAGGACCUGUGGCGAGCGGGUUGCGAAUGGGACCAGCAAAUCGGCGGAGAGUGUUUAGAAAAGUGGCGACAGUGGGUCGCAAUGUUUUCUCGGGUCGAGGGUGUUCGGAUUCCAAGAUGUAACUUUGGGUCGACACCUUCUGACCAAUUUGGCCAAAUUCAGCUCCACAUCUUUACAGACGCUGGGGAAAAUGCCUUUGGAUGCGUCGCGUAUCUGAGGAUUUGCGUAGAGGAAAACGUAAAAUGUUCGUUGGUGCUGGCUCGAUCGAAAGUGGCACCGAUUAAACAACUUUCCAUUCCACGGCUUGAAUUGAAGGCAGCAGUCUUGGGAGCGAACCUGAGUCUCGCUGUCAGGAACAAUCAUUCCCUUCCUAUAGGCCAAACUUACUUCUGGAGCGAUUCUCAAACCGUUCUCUCCUGGAUUCAAUCUGAUCAACGUCGUUAUCAACCCUUCGUCGGCUUUAGAAUCGGAGAAAUUCUGAGUCUCUCCAAGUUGACGGACUGGCGUUACGUUCCGACCAAACUGAAUGUAGCAGAUUCGCUCACCAAAUGGGGUCGUCUUCCAAAUCUUUCGAGCGAUGGUUCUUGGUUUCGUGGCCCGGAGUUCCUGUACCAGCAUCCGUCGAAAUGGCCUCAGCAAAAUCUUCCCGCAGCAAAUACAAGAACAGAAAUCAAAGCAAUACAUCUUUUCCAUGGUGUUGAGCUUCCGAGUUGCUUUAUCGACGUGACCAGAUUUUCGAAAUGGAAUGUUGUAGUUCGCACAGUGGCGUGCAUUUUUCGAUUCAUCUCCAACUGUCGGCGCAGAGUUGCUGGCAAACCCAUCGAAGCUGUCCUGUCAAUUCCAAAGCUCAAAAGGCUAAUCAAGGUUUACGUUCCGUUUGUAGUUGUUCCGUUGCGGCAAGACGAGCAUCGAUGUGCAGAAAAUGCUCUAUUCAGGUUGGCUCAAAGCGAUUCGUACAGCGACGAAAUCAAGACACUGCAGAAGAAUGCAGAGCUACCUUUCCAAAACUGGUUUCCACUAGAAAAGUCCAGCCCUCUCUACAAGCUAGUGCCCUUGAUCGACGCCCAUGGUGUGUUAAGGAUGGAAGGUCGCUCUGAAAAGGCGGAGUUCCUCCCCUUCGAUCUUCGAUUCCCGAUUAUUCUACCAAGAUCCCACUGUAUCACGGAUCUUUUGGUUCAACAAUACCACGAGAGGUUUGGACACGGAUAUCGAGAAACGGUGAAGAACGAAAUCAAGCAACGUUUUGUGAUAAGCGGUCUCACCAACUUGAUAAAACGAGCCGAGAGAAGCUGUGUGUGGUGUAAAGUCCGAAAAUGUCUGCCGAAGAAUCCCAAAAUGGCUGCACUACCCGUCCAAAGAUUAACCCCCUUCAAACGUCCAUUUACUUUCGUUGGUCUUGACUAUAUGGGUCCAGUUGAAGUCGUCGUUGGUCGCCGCCGAGAAAAACGCUGGGUCGUGGUGUUCACGUGCAUGGUUGUCAGGGCGGUACAUUUAGAAGUUGCCCAUAGUCUUACCGCACAAUCAUGCAUAAUGGCGAUCCGUCGUUUCAUUAGCCGCCGAGGUCCCGCCUCGGAAUACUUCUCGGACAACGGGACGAACUUGCGAGGAGCGAGUAAGGAGAUAGUCCAACAAGUACGGGAAAUUGAUAAUGUUUGCGCCGACGAAUUUACGACUGCUAUCACGAGUUGGCACUUCAUCCCACCAGGAACACCCCACAUGGGAGGGGCGUGGGAGAGGAUGGUGCGCUCGGUGAAGCAGGUCAUGACAGCCUUAGACGACGGACGUCGACUGAACGAUGAAAUUCUCCUAACUACGCUAGCUGAAACUGAGGACAUGAUCAACAGCCGGCCCCUUACUCUUGUAUCUACGGAUCCAGUGGUAGGUGCACUUUGUCCCAAUGUAUUCCUGCGUGGUUCAGAUCCUAACGAGCCGCAUGAAGUCAUCAAACCUACCAACCCUGCAGAGGCCCUUCGGGAUGCUUACAAGCGAUCGCAGCAGCUGGCUGACGACUUAUGGAAACGGUGGAUAAAAGAAUACGUGCCGACAGUCAACCAGCGAUCCAAGUGGUUCUCUGAAGCAGAUCCUCUUAAGAAAGGAGAUCUCGUGUACGUGGUAGAUGGAAAUCGACGUAAGGCAUGGGUACGAGGAAUCAUCGAGCAGCCGAUCAUAUCCGGUGACGGACGUGUACGGCAGGCAUUGGUGCGCACAUCGGGUGGUGUUUUCCGACGCGGAACGACUAAUCUAGCAGUGCUAGAGAUCGAUGGUAGUACGGAAGGUGUUCAAAAUGUGGGUCCAGAGAGUGCCGCUCACCAUGCAACUUUUAAAAUUAGCGGUAACUCUGAUCCGGUGGCUCCAGAGAGUGGUUCCGGACCAGGUUUACGGGUGGGGGACUGUUGAGCGUGUAACUGCGCGACUCGGCAGCCAUGUCGGAAAGUGAGACGGAGACCGGUGAUUGGUGAUGGGGAGUAGGAUAAACAAAAAUAAAAGAAACAAACUAAAAUUUGGCUCGUCAUUGCGUGCUUAGUGCAGGAGUGAUUUGUAAAAUUAUCUUAUUAAGCUAAAAUAGUACGGUUAGUGCUGAGUAGUACGGAUUAACAUUUACUGGAGGACGUUGUACAUUUAAAAACCGUAAGUGAAAGACAUUUGCUAAAAUACUUAUUACUAAAAUUGUAUUUGACCUCACAUAGGUAACAGCAACAGAAUCUAACCUACAAAAACAGUUCCGAUUGAUACAGUUAGUUCGUGAAACAAGAUAAAACCAUUUGAAUUGGUUUCGAGCUGAUAGCAAAAAAGCAGCGAUUUAAUUUCUUGAUCCCGGUACACCGACGUUACUGUCCGAUAAAAGAAAACUUAAUCUUCAAGCUGCUAUACAAGAAAGGCUGCUCUGAGGAUUCGUUUUAAUUAUCCGA